rnacentral:snRNA from 1 species
AUACCUUUCUCGGCCUUUUGGCUAAGAUCAAGUGUAGUAUCUGUUCUUAUCAGUUUAAUAUCUGAUACGUGGGCCAUAGGUCACACGAUAUUAUUUACGGGGGAGAAUCCAUCACAGCAGCUUGCUGCUGGGCUUUUCACGCGUCGCCUUUGCGUUGCACUACUGCACUGGCCUGGCACACCCCUC